AAGCGGAGACAUUCCAGUAACUGAACGGGUUGUAGCUGGCCUCUCGGGGCAUGUGCACACCUGGCUCAUCCACUCUUCAACCUCUGUGCACUUGUUGUAGGUCGGCAGAAGGGCGAGCCUUAAAACAGCUCGCUUGGAAGCCUUCCUAUGUUUUAUUACAAACGCUUCAGUUUAAGAAUGUAACCUGCGUAUAACGCAACUAUAUACAACUUUCAGCAACGGAUCUCUUGGCUCUCGCAUCGAUGAAGAACGCAGCGAAAUGCGAUAAGUAAUGUGAAUUGCAGAAUUCAGUGAAUCAUCGAAUCUUUGAACGCACCUUGCGCUCCCUGGUAUUCCGGGGAGCAUGCCUGUUUGAGUGUCAUGGUAUCCUCAUCCUUCAUAACUUUUUGUUAUCGAAGGCAUGGACUUGGAGGUCGUGCUGGUUCCUCGUUGAAUCGGCUCCUCUUAAAUGUAUUAGCGUGAGUGUAACGGAUCGCUUCGGUGUGAUAAUUAUCUGCGCCGUGGUCGUGAAGGAACAUAAGCUUGCGCUUCUAACCGUCCUUAAGUUGGACAACUUACUUUGACAUCUGACCUCAAAUCAGGUAGGACUACCCGCUGAACUUAAGCAUACAAAAACCGGGGAAAGAAAA
rnacentral:rRNA from 1 species